CGCUCAAGAAUAAAUCGGAUCGAACCGAUAACUAUUUAAACUGAACUGAAACUGACCCGCGAGACAUUUAAACCGAUUUCAAAUCGAACCGAACCCGAACGGUCAAACCGUUUUGACAGUGCUUAGACUUGUUACAGACUGUUAUACCUUAAAUUCUGUACUAAAAAAAAUCGGUCGCAAUCGUUAUCCAUCAUCAUGAGAUCACUUCCAGUCUUCCACACAAAAAUGGUGAUCCUACUUAAUCCUUUCUUCACUUCUCCAAAAAAAAAAAAAAAAAAAAAAAAAAAACCCUCUCUUUUUCUCGCUGAAUAGAAAAGGAAUCUAUCAAUCAAUCAAAUUGUGAUUUCUGUAAUUUCCCAAAAUCCAAUUGUUCUGUAAUUGUGAUUGCCAAUUUUGGAGCAAAUGCAAAUGCGAUAUUGUGGAAGCCAUGAAAUUUUCAAAUUACCUACCAAUCUCUAUAAUUUCCCUGCUACCAGGAAGGUGGUUGAUGUCAUCCAAGUUAUUAAAGACGAUUCUACCAAUUCAAAAGUAAAAAGGGCUCUUUUAGGAGCCAAAAAGAAGGAAAGAAUCAAGUUGCCUUCUUACAAGAAUGCUUGUGUUGGCGAAAUGUACCACAUUAGUCAAUUUUUGAAGCACCCAACUGGAGUUGAAGCAAUGCUGAAUGUAAAUGCUCUUGAAAGUUAUGUUCUGAUUGAUACCAACACAUAUAGAUGCAAGCUUCCACCAAUCCAACUUCUGAACUUUGAGGUGGCCCCUGUCCUGGACUUGGAAGUGACUCCAGCCAGUGAAUGUUGCAUUGUUGAGCUGCUGUCUUGUAAGUUUGAGGGCUCAGAAAUAGUGGAGAACCAGAACCAAUAUUUCUCAGCAACCAUGAAAAAUUUCAUUAGUUGGAACAUAACUGGUUCAGAAUCAUUUCUCGAGGUUGAUGUGAAGUUGAAUAUCACUCUUGAGAUUUACAAUAGGCCCUUUACCCUGUUGCCUGUAUCUACUAUUGAACGCCCUGGAAAUUUAGUUUUGCAAGCACUCUUGGACAGGUUUGUUCCUCUUCUCUUGCAGCAAUUGUUACAAGACUAUGAUGCUUGGAUUACACAACAACGUAGAAAUCUUCCAUAAUUCCAGGUAAACUUCCUUGUCGGCUCAGUUUAUUUGUCUACUGCAAUGCAAGUUUGAUAACACCGGCAUGCAUCUAUAGGUAGCAAUUCACAUGUGGAUCCUGGUGGAAAUUGAUCAAGUUGGAAACUUCAAAGAUGGAUAAGAAUGUACUCGAGUUGCCAGUUAGAAUUACAGUGCUGAAACCAUAGAUCAUAUAGGAGGUAAAUAAAUGUUGGAAUUCUCAGAAGCAGAAGCUGCAUGAGUGAUUAUGUAUUUGGCUGAUGAAAUCCGAGCUUCUGAAACAGUGGAACCUGCAGAGAGAAUUGGAUUCAUACUAACAUUGCAUUGCUGUAAAAUGCCGAGAAAGAGUUACUGAACUUGAACGAAGUAGCAAAAUAAGCAAAAAUACAUGUGAACGAACUAACUUACAAAUAUCACGGAUACAUCCAAUGAUUUAUCGGAGUAAAAGGAGACUAGCUCCCAACAGCCUCGGGACUUCCAAAGGCGUAAGGACAAGGACUAGGAGAAAGUUUAACUCUUUUAACAGAACUAAUACAAGGAUGUAAACGGGGAAUGGGGGUACAAUCUUUAAAACAUGCUAAACAAUGCAAAUGUGAGGGUUCCCAAGCUCUAUCGUAGAUCAUAAUCUUCAUAUGCUCAA